ACAUUUGAUUGAAAGCCUGAAGGCAGUGAGGAACUGAGCUACAUGGCUACAUGGGGAGAAGAACACUCCAGGAAGGGAGAAAAGCCAGUGCAGAGGGACUCUGCCUGGUUUAAAGAGAAAUGGUUGGAGUGAAGUAAGCAGGAGGGAAAACAGAAGGAAAAGAUCAACUGUCCAAAACUUCCCAGGAUUGAGGGGGGGAAAAAAUCAGCUUUUGGGGUUCUGGUGGCCAUAACUGACACGACGUGUACAUUCUU
rnacentral:lncRNA from 1 species